rnacentral:misc_RNA from 1 species
AACGGUCUAUACCUGCGGUACCUGCGGAGGGAUCAUUACCGAGUUUACAAAACUCCCAAACCCUUUGUGAACCUUACCUAUCGUUGCUUCGGCGGGAACGCCCCGGCGCCCUCGCGGCCCGGAACCAGGCGCCCGCCGGAGGCCCCAAACCCUCAUGUCUUUAGUGGUUUCCUCCUCUGAGUGACAUAAACAAAUAAAGUAAAAACUUUCAGCAACGGAUCUCUAGAUCGGAAGAGCACA